UGCACAAAGAGUUUAAAUGCAGCCAAGGGG
rnacentral:piRNA from 1 species